rnacentral:lncRNA from 1 species
UAUUCUCAUCAAUUCAAUCACACAAGCAAUUAACACAUUGGAACAUAUUAAAAAUUCCAACUCACUUUAAUAAAUCACAACACAUACACACCUUCAUAUAACAUAACAUAAACACAAAUAUAAGUACUCAUACUUAUGUCCCAACGGUCUAAUUCCCUGCUCUGAUACCAAAAACUGUAGCACCCCAACUCAAACAUCCAAUUGAAUAGCAAUAUAUAUAUAUAAUUAACUUUAUAAACAUAAUUUAGUACUUAGUUACAAUAUACAUUCAU